rnacentral:misc_RNA from 1 species
AUGCGUUGUUGGUGGUGUUACGUGGUUGGGGUUUUCAUGUUGCUUCAAAUUGUGUCCCACUGUAGUCCUCCGGAGGAUCCCAUCAAAUGCGAAUCCGUAUCCCCAAAUAAACACGCCAAUUGCACCAUCACAAAUUCCUACGCCACGUUUCCGAACCGUACCAUCUGCCGUGCGGCGGAGGUGGUAUACCCAACCACAGAGGCGGAGGUUAUGUUGGCGGUGGCAGCGGCGACCAGAGGUAUGAGGAAAAUGAAGGUGGGGACUCGGUUCUCUCACAGCAUCCCCAAGCUGGCGUGUCCGGAGGGGGAAGAUGGGGUGGUGAUAAGCACCAAGUACCUGAACCGGACUGUGAAGGUGGACGUGGAGGGGAUGAG